rnacentral:lncRNA from 1 species
AAUUUUUUUUUUGAAGCACCUGAUCCCAGAUAUUGUCAGAUCCGCCACAAAUACAGAGAAUCCACUAUUCACACGGACAGAGUCUCCCCUGUAUUUGCACGGCGUCGCACAAGUACAAAAGUACAAACAGUAUACAACCACAACUAAAUGAAUAUACAGAUAGCUAUACGUUCAUACAUUUACCAUUCACACCGUAGUUUUACAUUCGAUGUUUAAACAAAAGUCCACGAAAAACCUUUUAAAAACUGUUCCAUACGCGAAAACUUUUAUCUUUUAUAAAGGCUACCACGAGGGGUAGAAAACCUUUUAUUUUACCAAAUCCAGAAAUUCUUUUAUUACAUUCAUGAAAGUCCACAUAUUCUAAUGUAAUAAAAAUACUGAACCAUAUAAACUGACUAAGCUAUAACAACAGAAUAGUAGGGAUAAAACUAAACCGAUAAUCUGGGUCGGAAGCUCUAUCGACCGCUACGAACGUACCUCACGGCUCGUCCCAAAACUCAACGUCUGCAACACCUGAAAAAUAGUGGGGGAGGUGAGAACAUGUAAACAUGUCUCCCCUCCCAGUGGGUACCGCAAGCCGAAGAAGGCGAGGAGUACUCACCGGAUCAGGAAGAGAUAAACAACAGUAUGGGUAAGUAAAAUACAGUAGCAACGAUAAUGAACGAAUGAGAUAUAUAUAUGAAAACACAACUACCGCUACUGUAAUGUACAACUGCAAGCAUACAAGGAUAUCAAAACUAUAGUAGCAAGACAACUGUAAAGAAAGAACUAGAAGUAUAUAUGCAACAACCGCUACUAUAGCUAUAUGCGUCAACCGGACGAGAAGUCCAAAAGUACCCAAUCUAAACCGCCGUGUCGGUCUAAGGACCUCAGGCAAAAGCCACUACCUGCUCACACCUGGCAUGUAACCCUAGCACAAAGAGAACACCGCUGGGCUCACGGGUCGGAUGUACGACCACUUUUCCGGAAAAGAACACCCUCCUGCGGGGGAUCAACCCGCUGGUGUACGUGAAAUGCACUCGAGCUGUGGCGAUCAAUGCGGAUAUGAUCAAUAGCCAAAUGUCGGCAACCAGCCAACAAUCACCGCCCCUCGGGGCAAGCCGACCAAUAGGUCAUCAAACUAUAAAGAAGCACAAGAACCGACCACUCAAGUCAACUAGGAUGGAACGACUCUACAUCCUCUCAACUGUAUGUAAGUACUGACUAAUCAAGUCAACUGGGAUGGAACAACUCAACAUCCUACCAAAAGUAUGUAGAUACUGAUCAAUAGGUCAACUACUGUAUAUAUGCAAGAAUCGAUCAACAAGUCAUCUGAGUAUAUAAUCUAGAACUACCGUCGGCCAUGGCCGACAAUCCUACCCCUCAGGGUACACCGACCUCAAAGGUCAUCAAACGACAGAAGUCAAGAAACAGACCAACCCAAUACAUAAUGCAACAACCGACCAACCAGGUCAACAGAUAUAAGAUAAAAGCACCGAUCAACUAGAUCACCGAAACGAAGUACGAGAACCGACCAAUCAGGUCACCGAAACAAAGUACGAGAACCGACCAAUCAGGUCACCGAAACGAAGUACGAGAACCGACCAAUCAGGUCACCGAAACAAAGUACGAGAACCGACCAAUCAGGUCACCGGUAUCACAUAUGGAUAAACUACUCUACUCCUACACAUGAUACUAAGCAUAGAAACAUAUAAGUAGAGUAUAAUAGAAACAACGGGGAUGCAAGCUCA